CCAGAACAGCGCCCGGUACCUGCAGCAGGAGCUUCCCGUGCGGAUCGCCCACAGGAUCCAGGGAUUCCGGAACCUUCCCUUCAUCAUCGGCUGCAACCCCACCAUCCUGCACGUGCACGAGCUCUACAUCCGGGCCUUCCAGAAACUCA